CCUACGGGCGGCUGCAGUGAGGAAUAUUGGUCAAUGGACGAGAGUCUGAACCAGCCAAGUAGCGUGAAGGAUGACUGCCCUAUGGGUUGUAAACUUCUUUUAUAUGGGAAUAAAACGUUCCACGUGUGGGAUUUUGUAUGUACCAUAUGAAUAAGGAUCGGCUAACUCCGUGCCAGCAGCCGCGGUAAUACGGAGGAUCCGAGCGUUAUCCGGAUUUAUUGGGUUUAAAGGGAGCGUAGGGGGAUUGUUAAGUCAGUUGUGAAAGUUUGCGGCUCAACCGUAAAAUUGCAGUUGAAACUGGCAGUCUUGAGUACAGUAGAGGUGGGCGGAAUUCGUGGUGUAGCGGUGAAAUGCUUAGAUAUCACGAAGAACUCCGAUUGCGAAGGCAGUUCACUGGACUGCAACUGACACUGAGGCUCGAAAGUGUGGGUAUCAAACAGGAUUAGAUACCCCUGUAGUC
rnacentral:rRNA from 1 species